rnacentral:rRNA from 1 species
AUUGAACGCUGGCGGCAGGCAUAACACAUGCAAGUCGAACGGUAACAGGGAUCAGCUUGCUGAUUCGCUGACGAGUGGCGGACGGGUGAGUAAUGUCUGGGAAACUGCCUGAUGGAGGGGGAUAACUACUGGAAACGGUAGCUAAUACCGCAUAACGUCGCAAGACCAAAGAGGGGGACCUUCGGGCCUCUUGCCAUCGGAUGUGCCCAGAUGGGAUUAGCUAGUAAGUGGGGUAACGGCUCACCUAGGCGACGAUCCCUAGCUGGUCUGAGAGGAUGACCAGCCACACUGGAACUGAGACACGGUCCAGACUCCUACGGGAGGCAGCAGUGGGGAAUAUUGCACAAUGGGCGCAAGCCUGAUGCAGCCAUGCCGCGUGUAUGAAGAAGGCCUUCGGGUUGUAAAGUACUUUCAGCGGGGAGGAAGGGAGUAAAGUUAAUACCUUUGCUCAUUGACGUUACCCGCAGAAGAAGCACCGGCUAACUCCGUG